AUGUAAAAUGUAUAUUUUAUAUUAUAAUAUUAUUAACAAUAUUAUAUAAUACUAUUAAUGACUAUGACAUAAGAGGAGCCUAGCAACAACUUAAUAGCAUGCUAAGGUUACACCAUCACAAGUUUACUAGCUCUGAUAUAUAACAAUGUACCAUUCUCGUAUAUAUAACAUAUUAUAAACUGCAUAAACUUGAUAUUUCAUAAGGCUGCAAAGUUCAAUAUAUCAUAUACCAAACGUUAUAUAAUAUCUCUUUGUUGCAAACCGCACGAGAUGAAAAAUGUAAUAUUACAUUCGAAAAGAACUGUUAUAAUGUCAAAAACAUAAAUUUUUAGAAAACUAAAGCUAAAUUGCAAUUUUUUUCAAUUAUGUUCGUAAAAUCUGAAUUUCUUGUAAAAAAUUAUUUCAUGUUUUAACAUUCCUCAUAAAUUGUGACAUCAUUGAGAUCAUUGAAUCAAGUUUCCUAAUCAUAUAAAUAAUAUAGAGAAUAAUGAAUUUAUACGUCGUUAAUAAUAUCGAUGUGAUUAAAUAAAGCAAAUUUAUUAUCUCAAGUUAUACGACUAAGGAAGAUUCAGUAAAGAGCAGUGCAUCGACACGAUGAGAAGUCCGAGUGGCAAACUCAAUGAGUAGAAGGUUCCUUUGAGCACGAGAGCCUCACCACGAUCUAUACCAACAUCGGACUCCUUGCGUCAAGUGCUCACACCCAACCCUCAUUCUUCGUCGACCCACCUACCUACGCCACCGUUGAUACUGACACACAUGCAUCUCCUUUACAAAGUAUCUGUGUAUCUUAGGGUUACAAAGCGGAAAGUGCCACCGCCACCGUCGGACGAAGAAAUAAGGAAGAGAGGCAAUGUACGAGAAAGACCAUCGAGGACAAAAGUAGCAAAGAAAUUCGCAGGUCAAGAGAGUCUGCGGUCCACUUUCGAAAGCUUUCCGAAAUUCUCUCCGUUGGAGAUGAAUCCAAUAAGCCGAGACGUAAGGGAGAGAACGCAAAAGAAGAGGAAGGGUGCUGUCCCCGAAGCGGAAGAAGUGGCUCGUACGACGUUGCUGCUGGCUGCUAGCUGCUGGCUGCCUGAAUAGAAAUUCAGCAGCAUACAAUCCCCAUUAUCCCUCGAUUUGAAGUUCCGCGACAAUGGAAUCUCUCAGACGCGCCGCGCCCGUCGUCGUCGUCGUCGUCGUCGUCGUCGUCGUCAUCGUCGUCGUCGUCUCUCGACUCAGCGUUCCGACAUACAAGCCGAUACCGCUUUGCCAGACAUGAAAUAGAUAAUUUCGACACGUCCAUUUUCAUGCUUGGCAAAGACUCAAAGUGAUGAAUCAGCCUUCGGACUCGGAUAUUAAAUUGUCACAGAAAGGCUCUUAAAUAUAUUUACACUCUGUCAUACUCGUAGCAAUCUCUCUUUAAAGGUUGGAGAUCUUCUUAUCUGUUUUCUAUUAUUCCCCUCUAGUUGGACGCGAGGAAAUAAAAUUAUUCUACAAAUAAAUUCCAACGUCCUUGAAUAAAGUAGAUUUUACUUCUACAUAUUAAUCACAAUGUCUCUUAAAAUACAUAGACGAGCAAAUAAAAAUUUCAAACUAGUGCUUUACAAAAAAAAAAAAAAAGAAAAAAAAAUUAUUAUUGCGCUACGAUUAUUUAAAAACCGAAGUGGAUAAAAUCAUAAAUCAAUUCUUUUUUUCGCCGUAAUCAUCUUACGCAAUUCUUAAGUUAAAAUCACUGCACCGGUAGGAAGGGUCGCAGACGGUGCAAAUGGAAAAUUAGAGGGCUAAAACCGGUAGCCAGACGACGGAGUAUUUGCUAGGCAAACGAAACGCGAUUACCAGAAGCACUACCCGUAACCGAGAAACGAAGACGUGUACGCGAAGAGAACACGGGGGUAUUACACUGUUUGUCUUACGUGGGUACGUAUUACCGUAAAUGCCUUAUUAACAAUAUUGUCUGCGCCUAGGCGUAGCCUAUAUACGCCGUAGUCAACAGUCUGCUACUUUUAUCCCCUUGUGUGCGCAAGGUCGGGCACGGUCCUGCAGACUUCCAUUGUGUACCGGACAUAGUAAACAUUACCCUCCCCCAUAAAAUGGACGGUAGAAUAUUACGUACAAUCUCCCGGAGUAGUUCGCAGCGAUGAUACCGCGUAAAGAAAAAUCGCGGAAGGGACUAUAAUUUCAUAGCUUUAUGAUAGUGGAAGGCGGCGACGGUAAAACCGAUUUUUAUCCCCGCGGUUAUAUCACGGCACUCCAAUCUGAUAGAACUAAUAAAGUUAAAGAUUAAUGAUACAGCAUCCCCGCAUCUCUGGUGUCCUCCAUUUGAAACUAGCGUCCUGAUGUAACAGUGUUAUUUUUAAAUGUCAUCCCGAGUUUGAUAAGGUAGUUUCAGAUUAUGAAAUCCCUGUGUGAUAAACGUUUCUCUCUAAUGGUAUUUGCCGAAUCAUUCUGUAUAAAGAAAACGACUUCGCGGUCCGUGUAUGCGUCUGCAUAUAGUAAAGACGAAGAUGUUUUGAGACGAGUCGCAUAAAGAAUCUAUUUACAUGUUUCGACGGAGUUUAUCAGCAAGUAUAUCGAGUCCCGCGGAAAGCAUCGAAGCGGCGAUUAAACCUUAGAGCAAGAAGGGUUGGCGAGGUGGAACGCAGAAACAAGUUGACGGAGGGACAUGACUCAUAGGCACAUUUAGAGCUGGAACACUUCAAAGAGUUGGUUGGGUACCGGUUCACCCCGGUGAACCGAUGUAUACCGACGCGUUACAAGAGCGCGGCAGAUCCCUUUCAGAUUUAAUGUAAUGUAAAUAUCUGCGGCAGUGCAAACGCUUGGCUUUUCACCAGUUAAUUGGCCGUGUGACUGGUCGAUGCACAAAGCCAAAAAAAUCUCAAACAGCUCAAUAAGCGUAAUUAAUAUAUUACAAGAAUUACGACAGUCCAACAAAACUCGCGAGACGGUAAUGAGUUUCUCAUUGAUCAUUUCUUUACUGUCCUUAUAAAAAAUUAAUUUUUUAAGUAUGAAAAUAAUAAAAACAACAUAAAUUAUGUCUCAUAAAUAAAAACACAUACAGUAUGAAUAAAAUAGAAUCAAUUAUAACCAUAUGUGAUAAAAUAUUGCAUUAAUAUCAUGUGGAUUUGCAUCAUUAUUUAUACAUUACUACCUAUAUAUAUAUUACUUUCAUUCAUCUUACUUUGUGUGAACGCUUCAAAAGUUUAAAGGAUCAAAAAUUCAUUAAGUUUACGCGAAUAAAUCCCGUGUUCUUACUAACCCUCUAACCCUAACGUAAUAAACGCUUUUGUUUGACAAAACAAAGCCCGCACAACCCCCGUAAUUAACUGACUUACCUCAAAAUUGUCUUUGUUAUUAAAAAAUAUUAAAUUUCACCAUGAAAAUAUAACGGAGUAAAUGUAUAAAAAGAUAGAGGAAGACUUUCUAUUAAAUUAAUGUUAAUCUUUUGAUAUUAUUUUUAUUAAGUAAAUUUUAUAUUAUUUUUAAUUCUAGUUUUCUAUUAAUUUUAAUAUAAAAUAGCGUAAAUUGAAAAUUAAACGUGGCGAAAGCCGUUGUAUAUGAACAAAACAAAAACAAUCUUUUACAAAUCUAUUUCCAUGAAAUUUAUACAUUAAUCGCCUAACAUAUUAAGUUAUAACAAGCGAGAAAUUAUACGUGAGUUUUUUUACAAGUAAUUAUCUCUCGCAUGUCUCAGUUAAACAAAGCAACAGAAAAGUUAGAACCGCUCACUCAUUGCAUUGCACAACGGUUUAGGUGCAAAACUGAUUCUCAAAAUAAACAACAAUGAACAACGUUACUAUCGCUCCAGCACGAGUUUCAUGGCAACGAGUUACUUUCCGUGAAUCGCUUCUCAAAAUAAACAAAUCCCUUACCUUGCUGCACGUAGGAGACCAACUGCCUGUUCCAAGUUUCUCUGUCGCAUUAAUUUCUGAAUCCUCUUCAUGGCGUCCGCCCUACAAA
rnacentral:lncRNA from 1 species